AUACGGAGGGUGCAAGCGUUACCCGGAAUCACUGGGCGUAAAGCGCGCGCAGGCGGUCUUUUAAGUUGGAUGUGAAAGCCCACGGCUCAACCGUAGAACUGCAUCCAAAACUAUUAGACUAGAGUGUGGGAGAGGAAGAUGGAAUUAGUUGUGUAGGGGUAAAAUCCGUAGAGAUAACUAGGAAUACCAAAAGCGAAGGCAAUCUUCUGGAACACUACUGACGCUGAGGCGCGAAAGCGUGGGGAGCAAACAGGAUUAGAUACCCUAGUAGUCC
rnacentral:rRNA from 1 species